UCCUUGGUGGUCCAGUGGCUAAGGCUCCUCCCUCCCAAUGCAGGGGGCCCAGGUUCAAACCCUGGUCAAGGAA
rnacentral:tRNA from 1 species